UACUUUAAGUUUGUUCAUUUAUAUUACUUUGUCCUACUUUACACAACAUUUAUGUACUAAUUUAUUUAAUUGAACUCAUUUAUUAAUGGUGUUGACACAUGAGUUUCUAAUGCUGGCCUGAUACUGCAUGAUCAACCUUUUCUCCUACUGGAAUUUUUAAAUUUUUAAAGCUUUUUUUUAAUUGAUGCUCUCUUUGUGUCUGUUAUGCUUUUAGCGGCCAUAUAUUUUUCCUUUUCUCUUAAGCACUUCCCCACCCAACUCUACACUGCUGUAGUAUAAUGCCUUUGUUCCUUUGUAUGAUUGUGAUACACCAAGGAUUUGUGCGAUUGUUGUAGCUCUUUUCUUCUCCACCACUCACAGACCGUAUGGUGUCACCAACAUCAACUUGCUUGCCAUUCCCAGAUAAUUGCGUUUUCCUAUGAAUGGGUAAACUUUUUGCUUUUCCUCUCAGUUUUAUCUUGAGUAAAUGUAAAUUCUACUUACCUAUCCAAUUUCAGCUUUUUAAAAAAGCUUCCUGAGUCAUCAUUUCUUAUUCUGCUCACUAAUCUUUUUUCUUAGCAUUUGGAAUCCUCAGACAAGCUGUUUAUGGGUAGCCGUUCAUGUGAGGUGAACCGUAAUGAGGACCAUGUCCUCACUGUAACAGGGGAAGAAGACCAAGGUGAAACUCCACCUCCCAUUGGAAAUCAUGGAGUCACCUUCUACAAAACACUCCUAUUAAAUUAGGGAAAUGGAAUUUAAAGAUAUCAUUUUGGUCCACCUAUCUGAAAAAGCGUGAAGAAUUUCCCGGCUGCUAACUCAGCAUAUGUGACCACAUUCACCUCUGUCUGCCUGCAAGAGUGUGUGUAGAAACUAGGUUGCUGGAAGGAAUACGUUUCUCAGUAGAUUGCCUUGCCCACCAGAGUGACGUGAAGAUUGGUGAUGGUCUCCCUCUCGUCCCAAAGAAAUCCUCCAUGUUCAGAGUAUUUCUCAUUGAGCACCUGCUGGCAUUGGACCAUACAGUCAGUCUAUCAAGGUUAGUAGAUGUGCUUCAGAUUUUCUUAUUUUUGUGGCAAUUGACUAAAUACGUGAAGUUGACAGGUUGGCCCUUUUUUAAUAACAAAGUUUUCGAUUCAAGUAUAAUCUUUAUCAUAUUAGUGAUCCCAGGUAUGUAGAGUGACAUCUUUAAGAGGGGAACCUCAUUUAUUGGCAAAAACAAUUAAGCAAUUUUAUGUAUUAUUUCAUCUAUACAAAGUUAAUCAAAACAAAUGCUCUGCAGAUUUUUGGUAAUUAGCUGAAAAUCAAUGCAAAUUUAUUUUACAGCAUGGUUUUAAAUGUUUGAAAAUAAUUUCUGGAUCAGUUUCUGCAGUGGAAAACUUCUGGUUGUUCUUAUUUGUUGUAGUGUUAGUUUAGGAUAGGAAACAAAGAUAUUUGUUAUCUUUUAGUUAUUGAU